rnacentral:rRNA from 1 species
GGUUAAGCGACUAAGCGUACACGGUGGAUGCCCUGGCAGUCAGAGGCGAUGAAGGACGUGCUAAUCUGCGAAAAGCGUCGGUAAGGUGAUAUGAACCGUUACAGCCGGCGAUGUCCGAAUGGGGAAACCCAGUGCAAUUCGUUGCACUAUCGUUAACUGAAUACAUAGGUUAACGAGGCGAACCGGGGGAACUGAAACAUCUAAGUACCCCGAGGAAAAGAAAUCAACCGAGAUUCCCCCAGUAGCGGCGAGCGAACGGGGAGCAGCCCAGAGUCUGAAUCAGCUUGUGUGUUAGUGGAACGGUCUGGAAAGUCCGACGGUACAGGGUGAUAGUCCCGUACACCAAAAUGCACAGGCUGUGAACUCGAAGAGUAGGGCGGGACACGUGGUAUCCUGUCUGAAUAUGGGGGGACCAUCCUCCAAGGCUAAAUACUCCUGACUGACCGAUAGUGAACCAGUACCGUGAGGGAAAGGCGAAAAGAACCCCGGCGAGGGGAGUGAAAAAGAACCUGAAACCGUGUACGUACAAGCAGUGGGAGCACCUUCGGGUGUGACUGCGUACCUUUUGUAUAAUGGGUCAGCGACUUAUAUUCUGUAGCAAGGUUAACCGUAUAGGGGAGCCGCAGGGAAACCGAGUCUUAACUGGGCGUUAAGUUGCAGGGUAUAGACCCGAAACCCGGUGAUCUAGCCAUGGGCAGGUUGAAGGUUGGGUAACACUAACUGGAGGACCGAACCGACUAAUGUUGAAAAAUUAGCGGAUGACUUGUGGCUGGGGGUGAAAGGCCAAUCAAACCGGGAGAUAGCUGGUUCUCCCCGAAAGCUAUUUAGGUAGCGCCUCGUGAAUUCAUCUUCGGGGGUAGAGCACUGUUUCGGCUAGGGGGUCAUCCCGACUUACCAACCCGAUGCAAACUACGAAUACCGAAGAAUGUUAUCACGGGAGACACACGGCGGGUGCUAACGUCCGUCGUGAAGAGGGAAACAACCCAGACCGCCAGCUAAGGUCCCAAAGUCAUGGUUAAGUGGGAAACGAUGUGGGAAGGCACAGACAGCCAGGAUGUUGGCUUAGAAGCAGCCAUCAUUUAAAGAAAGCGUAAUAGCUCACUGGUCGAGUCGGCCUGCGCGGAAGAUGUAACGGGGCUAAACCAUGCACCGAAGCUGCGGCAGCGACACUAUGUGUUGUUGGGUAGGGGAGCGUUCUGUAAGCCUGCGAAGGUGACCUGUGAGGGUUGCUGGAGGUAUCAGAAGUGCGAAUGCUGACAUAAGUAACGAUAAAGCGGGUGAAAAGCCCGCUCGCCGGAAGACCAAGGGUUCCUGUCCAACGUUAAUCGGGGCAGGGUGAGUCGACCCCUAAGGCGAGGCCGAAAGGCGUAGUCGAUGGGAAACAGGUUAAUAUUCCUGUACUUGGUGUUACUGCGAAGGGGGGACGGAGAAGGCUAUGUUAGCCGGGCGACGGUUGUCCCGGUUUAAGCAUGUAGGCUGGUUAUCCAGGCAAAUCCGGAUAAUCAAGGCUGAGGUGUGAUGACGAGGCACUACGGUGCUGAAGUAACAAAUGCCCUGCUUCCAGGAAAAGCCUCUAAGCAUCAGGUAACAUCAAAUCGUACCCCAAACCGACACAGGUGGUCAGGUAGAGAAUACCAAGGCGCUUGAGAGAACUCGGGUGAAGGAACUAGGCAAAAUGGUGCCGUAACUUCGGGAGAAGGCACGCUGGUGUGUAGGUGAAGUCCCUGCGGAUGGAGCUGAGACCAGUCGAAGAUACCAGCUGGCUGCAACUGUUUAUUAAAAACACAGCACUGUGCAAACACGAAAGUGGACGUAUACGGUGUGACGCCUGCCCGGUGCCGGAAGGUUAAUUGAUGGGGUUAUCCGUAAGGAGAAGCUCUUGAUCGAAGCCCCGGUAAACGGCGGCCGUAACUAUAACGGUCCUAAGGUAGCGAAAUUCCUUGUCGGGUAAGUUCCGACCUGCACGAAUGGCGUAAUGAUGGCCAGGCUGUCUCCACCCGAGACUCAGUGAAAUUGAACUCGCUGUGAAGAUGCAGUGUACCCGCGGCAAGACGGAAAGACCCCGUGAACCUUUACUAUAGCUUGACACUGAACAUUGAGCCUUGAUGUGUAGGAUAGGUGGGAGGCUUUGAAGCGUGGACGCCAGUCUGCGUGGAGCCAACCUUGAAAUACCACCCUUUAAUGUUUGAUGUUCUAACGUUGGCCCCU